rnacentral:rRNA from 1 species
UACGUAGGGUGCGAGCGUUGUCCGGAAUUAUUGGGCGUAAAGGGCUCGUAGGCGGUUUGUCGCGUCGGGAGUGAAAUCCACUGGCUUAACUGGUGGCUUGCUUUCGAUACGGGCAGACUGGAGGUAUGCAGGGGGAGAACGGAAUUCCUGGUGUAGCGGUGAAAAUGCGCAGAUAUCAGGAGGAACACCGAUGGCGAAGGCAGGUCUCUGGGCCACUACUGACGCUGAGAAGCGAAAGCAUGGGGAGCGAACAGG